GGGGGGGGGGGGGGGGGGGGUGGGGGGGGGGGGGUCGAGCGGAGGGGCCCUGCGGGGGUGGGGGGCUCGGGUGGCGAACGGGUGAGUAGCACGUGAGUAACCUGCCCUUGAGUUUGGGAUAACUUCGGGGAACUGGGGCUAAUACCGGAUAGGAGGUCCUGCUGCAUGGUGGGGGUUGGAAAGUUUCGGCGGUUGGGGAUGGACUCGCGGCUUAUCAGCUUGGUGGUGGGGUAGUGGCUUACCAAGGCUUUGACGGGUAGCCGGCCUGAGAGGGUGACCGGCCACAUUGGGACUGAGAUACGGCCCAGACUCCUACGGGAGGCAGCAGUGGGGAAUAUUGCACAAUGGGCGGAAGCCUGAUGCAGCAACGCCGCGUGCGGGAUGACGGCCUUCGGGUUGUAAACCGCUUUCGCCUGUGACGAAGCGUGAGUGACGGUAAUGGGUAAAGAAGCACCGGCUAACUACGUG
rnacentral:rRNA from 1 species